rnacentral:antisense_RNA from 1 species
CUUGACCGAGCCGAGCCAGAGCGGCCGGUCCGCCGGUCGGUCCCGCCCGUACGUGGCGAUCAACGCCUCGGCCUC